rnacentral:rRNA from 1 species
GAUGAACGCUGGCGGCGUGCCUAAUACAUGCAAGUCGAGCGAACAGACGAGGAGCUUGCUCCUUUGACGUUAGCGGCGGACGGGUGAGUAACACGUAGGUAACCUACCUAUAAGACUGGUAUAACUUCGGGACACCGGAGCUAAUACCGGAUAAUAUUUCGAACCGCAUGGUUCGAUAGUGAAAGAUGGCUUUGCUAUCACUUAUCGCUGGUCCUGCGCCGUAUUAGCUAGUUGGUAAGGUAACGGCUUACCAAGGCAACGAUACGUAGCCGACCUGAGAGGGUGAUCGGCCACACUGGAACUGAGACACGGUCCAGACUCCUACGGGAGGCAGCAGUAGGGAAUCUUCCGCAAUGGGCGAAAGCCUGACGGAGCAACGCCGCGUGAGUGAUGAAGGUCUUCGGAUCGUAAAACUCUGUUAUUAGGGAAGAACAAACGUGUAAGUAACUGUGCACGUCUUGACGGUACCUAAUCAGAAAGCCACGGCUAACUACGUG